CGACCGGGGUAUCCUAACCGUGCGUGGGUAGCGUGAUCACUUGCCCCUUAAAUAGGGGCUGGUAUGAACGGCACCACGAAGGUUUAACUGUCUCCUUUUUCUAAUCAGUGAAAUUAAUCUCCCCGUGAAGAAGCGGGGAUAAAUACAUAAGACGAGAAGACCCUAUGGAGCUUUAAAUGUUAACAACAAUUGCUCUUCCACCCAACACAGCACUAUGAUUGUUAAUUUUAGGUUGGGGCGACCACGGAGCAAAACUUAACCUCCUUGUUGAAGGUAAUUAUCCUAUAGCAAAAACUAACAACUUUAAGCAUCAUUAAAUUGACAUACAUUGACCCAAUAUUUUGAUCAACGAACCAAGUUACCCUAGGGAUAACAGCGCCAUCCACCUCAAGAGCCCCUAUCGACAGGUGGGUUUACGACCUCGAUGUUGGAUCAGGGCAUCCCAGUGGUGUAGCCGCUACUAAAGGUUCGUUUGUUCAACGAUUAAAGCCCU
rnacentral:rRNA from 1 species